CUAAAUAAUUUACAAGGAUAAAUAAUACUAUAAACUAAAAUAUUCCAUCACAAAGAAAUCGAUAAUGUUUUUAUUUAAAAGAUGAAGGGAAUAAAGUGAACAAAAGAAAAUAGAAAGGGGGUGGGGGAUAUUUUUACCAUCAUUUGAUGAGAAGACAGAUCUCAUGGAAUGCGUCAUUGCUUAUUAGUUAACUUAUAUAUUAUUUAGAGCCUAAUGAUUCUAUUAAAAUUGACUUUUGUUUUUUUUUUGGGUAUAAAUCAAUAUUGACUUGGUCUUGUAUGUUUGUUUUUUUUUUGUUCAAAAUUCUUGUAUGUUUAUACACCUCCCUUUCUUAAGACUUUAUAUAGUUUUGACGGGGUUAAUUACAAUAAAAAAGAGUUUAAAUAUUGAGUCGCUUCAAUGAGUAGUUUUACGGCCUAGUGAAGCAGUGAUGAUCUGAAAUUCUGAACCUACUUUAGUUAAAUUUAUUUCUGCACAUUAUAACUGUUGGAUUAAGCUUGAAAGAAAAGAAAACUUGAGAAAUAAGUUAAAGACCUAAUCCUACCGAGUUAUGGAAAUUAGGAAUAUGUUUAGGAGUUAUCUAGAUGUAUUCUCUAUUAGGAUUAGGAAAUAUAAAUCUCUAUAUAAGGAGAUGCAAGCUUGUUGCAUAACUUAUGAGUUAAGAGAUUGUGUGAGAGAUUAUGAAUUGUGAGAUUAAAAGAACUUGAGGUUUUGAGUUAGUUUCCUCAAGAGAUUAAUAAGAGAGUUAUUCUUAUUAAGUUUGAUUGUGAUUCAUAAAUCGUGGUUCUAUAUGUGGUAUCAGAGCAACAGGUUCAAUACUGGACCUCUAAUAAGGUUUUCUUAUUCAAAACCUAAAUUCGAACUUGAGAAAACGUCGCUAGGAAUUGUAAUGGUUAUGACGGUGAAUGUAUUCAAGUUAGACUUGUCGGAGUCUGACGGGGAUAAAGAGAUGACGACGACGAAUAAGGUUGCGGUUCAAUCUCAAGGAAUCCUCGCACAAAUUAAGUCUAUAAAGAAGAAGAAGAAGAAGAGAGCAUAUGUUAAAAGGAAUGAUUCUAAAGAUGAUGAUGUUGAUUGUCGAAAGAGAAGGCAUGCUGAUUGUGAUGAGGGAAAUACAACACACAAACCUAGGAAGAAAAGGAACAUGUUUGCAAAGAUUACGAUUAAACACGGUGUACAGUUAACCGUGCGGUCUGCACGUGAGAGAUUGGAUGAAGACUUCAAGAAACUGACAGGAUGGAUACUGCUCUCUAGGAAUAAAGAUUACUUUCUUCUCUACCGAGGAAAGAAUUUUUUGUCUCAAGAAGUAUCUGAUGCAUUGGUGGCACAAGAAAAAUUUGUAAGGAGUUUUCAAGAGAAAGAAGAAGAUGCACUUGAUGAGGAGAAUAGACAUCGAGAGGAUUUCAAAACAGAUGUCUCAAAAUCAGAAAAGACGAUUGAGACAACUCUAGAAGAGCUUGAGAAGAUUAAGAUUGAGCGCCAGAGUUUAGCUACAGCAACGAACAAUUUGGAGAAACAAUCCAAGUCAAUGUGUGAAAAGGCUAUCCUGGAAAAGGAGCUUCUACAGUUCACAAAAACUAUCAAUGCUCUGCAAAAGGAAGCAGAAUCCACUGGAAUGGAAGCGGAAAGCAGCUUAGUGAUGCUAAAGAAUGCCGCAUCCGAUGUGUUACAAUCAGAUAGCAAGCAAGAAAGUCGAACAGAAUCCAAUGCUUUGGAGCUAGAGACAAUAGAGAAAGCGUUAAAAAAGGAGAACAUAAUCGAGGAGAUGAAGAAAGAAGCCGAGUCAACGAAGCUGUUAACAGAAGAGCACCACAAGAAGAAGGAAAAAAAUGAUAAGAAGCUCGGCCAUAACCGUAAACCAAGAGUAGAGAAAGAUCCAGGUAUCUCCAGUUACUGUCCUCUCAAAGAAAAGGAGCUUGUCAUGGCAUUGGAUCCAAAGAGCAGAGCUGCUGCUGGUUCUGAGACACCAUGGACGCAGACUCCGGUGACGGAUGUUACUGUUGUCGGUGCGCAAAGAGAUUACUUGACUGAUGUAAAGAGUAUGAAGAGAACUACUAAUGAAAAAAUUUAUGAGUGCAACAGAGUUAGAUUGCUGCUGUACAAGAUUUUAACACAUUCGAAUCCAAAGAUUCCCAAUGGCUGGAUCUCUGCAGCUAGAGUUGAGGAGAUGAAUGGGAAAACUGCCGCAAGAAUUAUGCUUCACGGGGCUGUAGAGUGCUGCCCUUUUCGUCAGGAGCUAUGGGCGGCACUUGCAAGGCUUGAUACAUACGAGAAUCCAAGAAAGACUCAUCGUGGUCUCUGCAAGGUGGCUUGUAUUGGAGCUUGGCAUCCUGCUAGAGUCUCUUACACAGUGGCUAGAGCUGGGCAUAAAGGGUACCACCACCGUUCUGAGUUCAACAAGAAAAUUUACAGGCUUCGUAAAGUUGGCCAAGAGACUCACACAGCCAUGAUCGUGUUCGACAGAACGAAGAAGGAGAUCACACUGAUGGGAGGGUUCACGCACUAUGGGAUAGUGAAAGAUGAUUAUUUAUUGAUCAAGGGAUGUUGCGUGGGGCCGAAGAAACAUGUGUUGACUUUGAGACAGACGUUGUUGAAGCAGGCUUCUAGGGUUGUGUUGGAGGAGAUAAAGCUUAAGUUCAUUGACACGUGUUCUACUGGUGGACACAGUCGUUUUCAGACUACGGAAGAGAAUUUAAGAAAGUUGUUGAAUCAAACGCUAGAGAAGCUCAUUAAGGAGCCGACUAUUUGGAUCACCUAUGCUGAGCUUGAGGAAGCUAAUGGGAACACCCAUAUGGUGGGGAAGAUUAAUGAUAUAGGUAUAAAGACACUGCAGAGAAAUGGGAUUGUUAUGGACCAAGAGAAUUGGAUAAAUAAGAUUGAGACCUUUGAGAAAGAGGGGUCUGUCGUAACAUGCAAGGCAAUAGGAUAUCCUGACCAUGUAUAUAGGUCCGUCGCCGCGGCUGCAGCGCCUGCUCCAAUAGAAAAGGCAGAGGAUGAUGAAGAUGAUGAUAAGAAGAGGAGAAAGAGGAAGAGAGAAAUCGAAGUACCUGUGGGUGUUAAGAAUGAGAUGGAAAUUGUAGAGAGUGAUCAGAGAGGGGAAAUCAAGGAGUUAGAGGCCAAGGAUAGAGAGAUGAAUGAUAUUGUGGAGAGUUUGAAAAACGAAGAGAAGGUGUUGUUCCAUAUUAUUAAUAGGUUGGAGAAGAAUCUUGAUAAGUCUAUUGAGAAAGAGAGAGCAAUGGUGGUACAGAUUGAUGCAAUAGGGAAAGAGAAGAUGGUCAAGGAAUCUGAGCUCGGAAGAAAAAAAUCUGAUAAGGUAGAUCGGAUGAUAGACAUGGGUUUCGAGCCCCAUGUUGCAGGUGUGUUCGAUGUGAUACCUUCGAGUAGCUUGAAACCCAAGCACGAUGAAGAAGAGCUUGAUGAAAAGAAGAGUUACGCGUAUAUGUUUAGUGCUACAAUGCCUUAUGGUGUAGAGUGGCUAGCUUGGAUGUACUUGAGGAACCCUGUUGUUGUCCCGAUUGGUACUGCAGUAAAUGCCACAAAUUUGAUUACUCAGCACAUGUUUAUGAUGAAAGAAUCCGACAAGUUCUUCAAGUUGCAGAAACUGCUUUAUGAGCUCGACGACAAAACCGCCAUUGUGUUACGUCCAGAUUCUAGGAUACCAAUUGUUGGAGAUAGUGAUAGUAAUCAUAGAGUUGAUCCGGACCAUGACAAGAGCGCGGCAGGACAAAUUUAUUUUGUUGAUGAAAGUCCAAUUACGUGGUGUACGAGCAAACAAGAGACUGUUGAAAUAUUUUCAUGUGAAGCUAACAACAAGACAUGGACUGGAGCCGUGAGACAGGUCUUAUAUCAUCUCAUACAAAAGUGUGUUGAGUAUGUUUUGAUCGAGGUAGGGCGUAUACCCGAGAAUGAAAAAGGAGUUGACACCUUAACGAAAGCAUUUAGGAGACUGAAGUUUAAAAAGAUGAGAGUUCUUUUUUAUAUUGAAGAUUUGUUGAAAAUGGAUUUCAAGCUUAAGGGGGAGAAUGUUGGAUUAAGCUUGAAAGAAAAGAAAACUUGAGAAAUAAGUUAAAGACCUAAUCCUACCGAGUUAUGGAAAUUAGGAAUAUGUUUAGGAGUUAUCUAGAUGUAUUCUCUAUUAGGAUUAGGAAAUAUAAAUCUCUAUAUAAGGAGAUGCAAGCUUGUUGCAUAACUUAUGAGUUAAGAGAUUGUGUGAG
rnacentral:lncRNA from 1 species